rnacentral:rRNA from 1 species
GUUUGAUCCUGGCUCAGAAUGAACGCUGGCGGCGUGCUUAACACAUGCAAGUCGAACGAGAAAGGCCGGCUUCGGCUGGCCGAGUACAGUGGCGCACGGGUGAGUAACGCGUAGGCAACCUAACCCUGUGACGGGGAUAACAGCUCGAAAGGGCUGCUAAUACCCGAUACGAUGAUGGACCGGAGGGUCCAUCGUGAAAGAGGGCCUCUCUUUUGGAAGCUCUUGCACGGGGGAGGGCCUGCGUCCUAUCAGCUUGUUGGCGAGGUAACGGCUCACCAAGGCGACGACGGGUAGCUGGUCUGAGAGGAUGAUCAGCCACACUGGCACUGGAACACGGGCCAGACUCCUACGGGAGGCAGCAGUGAGGAAUUUUGCGCAAUGGGGGAAACCCUGACGCAGCAACGCCGCGUGGGUGAUGAAGGCCUUCGGGCCGUAAAGCCCUGUCGGGUGGGAAGAAGGACCGGGGAGCGAACAGAUUUCCGGUCAUGACGGUACCACCAGAGGAAGCACCGGCUAACUCCGUGCCAGCAGCCGCGGUAA